UUUUUUAUGUGGGUUGAAGCAUUUUAAAAUAAUAUACUCCAACGAUGCAUAGAAACAGAGAAGAAAGCAUAAAGUCGUGCGAAAAAAUUCACAAAAUCGAUACAUUUAUUUACGCUGUACUCUUCAACUAAAUUUAGUGAAUGUCCUACACAAGGAACAUAAUAUAUACGCAAGAGGAAUAACUUCUUUAAUUCGUGCCUAUAAUCCUGAAUAUUUUCCAGACAUGUUACUGGCAUUAUCGUUCUGAAAAUGUACAAAUAAUGUACA